rnacentral:rRNA from 1 species
UACGUGGGGGGCUAGCGUUGUCCGGAUUUAUUGGGCGUAAAGAGCGUGUAGGCGGCCAGGUAGGUCUGGUGUGAAAACUCGAGGCUUAACCUCGAGAUGUCAUCGGAAACCAUCUGGCUAGAGUGCGGAAGAGGAAAGUGGAAUUCCUGGUGUAGCGGUGAAAUGCGCAGAUAUCAGGAAGAACACCAAUGGCGAAAGCAGCUUUCUGGGACGGUACUGACGCUGAGACGCGAAAGCGUGGGGAGCGAACAGG